UCAGUAGCUCAGCUGGAUAGAGCACAAGCCUUCUAAGCUUGGGGUCAGGGGUUCGAAUCCCUUCUGG
rnacentral:tRNA from 1 species